ACUGACUAUCAUCAGAUCUGCAGAAUCCUAAGGCCCAAGUGGCAGACCAUAAACAGAAUGAACUUGCUUCAGAGCCUUCUUUUACGCUAGUCUCUACUAAGCACUGAUGAAUAACUGAACAACUUAUGGUACAUUAACACAAGGAAACACAAGUCAGCAAUAACAAUGAAUGAACUACUGAUACACAGAAUUGCAGCAAUGAAUCUCACAAACAUUCUUGGACAAAACAGCCUGAAAAAAGUUUCUCUUCCGUAAUAUGAAAAUAAUGCUACCUCAUUAAUGACGGCAAGAACUCAGAUCACAUCUCCACCACUUACUAGUGUGUCACAUUGGACAAGUGGCUAAACUGUAAGUAGGUGCCUCAGUUUUCUCGUGGACAAAAAAUGAGAAAAAAAACCCACAUGGGAUUUAAAUGUGAAUGAAAAUUUUUAUUAUGAUAGUUUUUUUUUUUUCAAAUGUCCCCUUUUCCAGUUGUUAAAUGACCAUGUCCAAAAUAGAGUGAGAAGACUGAAAAUUAGAUCUGGUGCAAGUUUUUUUUUUUUUUAAUUGCAGUUUAGGUUUUGGGGUACAUGUGAAGAACAUGCAAGAUUUUUGCAUAG
rnacentral:lncRNA from 13 species